GAUCAUUCUUUAUAUCUGACAGACUUGAAUACAAGAGAGAGCCUUCUGCUCUGCACGAAAGAACACCCAAUCCUACAAAUGGCUUUGCAAGAUGACAGUAUAUGGGUAGCCACAACAGAUUCUUCUGUCCAUAGGUGGCCUGCUGACGGGCGAAACCCUCAGAAGGUGUUUCAAAGAGGCAAUUCAUUCCUUGCUGGAAAUUUGUCCUUCACAAGAGCUAGGGCUUCAAUUGAAGGAUCUACUCCUGUUCCUGUUUAUAAAGAACCA
rnacentral:misc_RNA from 1 species